GGGGGUAUUGUUCAGUAGUAGAAUACUUGGCUGGCAUGCUUGAGGCCUGAGUUCAAUUCUUAGUAGUACUG
rnacentral:tRNA from 1 species